UACGAAGGGGGCUAGCGUUGUUCGGAAUCACUGGGCGUAAAGGGCGCGUAGGCGGCUUUAUAAGUCGGGGGUGAAAGCCUGUGGCUCAACCACAGAAUUGCCUUCGAUACUGUAUGGCUUGAGACCGGAAGAGGUUAGUGGAACUGCGAGUGUAGAGGUGAAAUUCGUAGAUAUUCGCAAGAACACCAGUGGCGAAGGCGGCUGACUGGUCCGGAUCUGACGCUGAGGCGCGAAAGCGUGGGGAGCAAACA
rnacentral:rRNA from 1 species